rnacentral:rRNA from 1 species
GCUCGCGUCCGAUUAGGUAGUUGGUGGGGUAAUGGCUCACCAAGCCAAUGACCGGUAGCCGACCUGAGAGGGUGAUCGGCCACACUGGAACUGAGAGACGGUCCAGACUCCUACGGGAGGCAGCAGUGGGGAAUAUUGGGCAAUGGGGGAAACCCUGACCCAGCAACGCCGCGUGAGGGAAGAAGGUUUUCGGAUUGUAAACCUCUGUCCUUGGUGAAGAGCAGAAGACGGUAGCCAAGGAGGAAGCCCCGGCUAACUACGUGCCAGCAGCCGCGGUAAUACGUAGGGGGCGAGCGUUGUCCGGAAUGAUUGGGCGUAAAG